rnacentral:lncRNA from 1 species
GCGUUAAAUAAAAAGCGUAUAUGUAGCCUAAUUAAAAGCCAUGUGUGUUUAAUUAAACAGUCUGCAGUCUGAGGAGGAGGUCGCCUGUCUGUGCAUCAUGAGUUUUACAAGUAGACUUCAUGAUGCCUUUGUCCAAAAUAACCUUGGCAUGGUUAUCAUGAUUCUUAUUGAAGAAAAAUCUUCCGUAUCCUUGGUCGAUCGACUGGACGAAGUUGUUAUUAAGGAGCUGCAUAAAAUCGAACAUAAGAAUGUUGCCUUAAUAUUACGGGCAAUUGAACAUCUCAUUAGUAAAGAUGAAGACAGCAUCCAGAAACUUGUUCAUCACGGCUUGGUUGUGAAGAUGUUGAAUUGGUUUGAGAUUUCGUCAGAACAUCUUAAAGGACCGCACAAACCACCUAGGUACGCCAUGAAUCUCAUUGAAGUUUUCUACGAGGUUGCCAUGGUAAUACAUUUUCGCUACAGAUAACUCCUUUACGCGUGUAUGUGUAUGUAUGUAUGUGUAUGUAUAUAUAUAUAUAUAUAUAUAUAUAUAUAUAAAAAUUUCUGUCUGCGUCUAGAGGUAAUUGUCAUGAAGCUAUUGGUAAAAAAAUGUCUGGCUAAAACAUUUAAACUGUGAAAUAAUUAGACAUUAUUUGCACUCAGG